UCCCUGUGUUCAGAGAUUCGAAUCCGACGCCGAAGAGUGGCUUCUGUUCUCAAACUGUGCUGGAAGCUUCUGCAGCAGAGCCAGUCGAGCCUGAUCGCUGAAGUGGGCCCAGAUGCAGAGCAGCACCGAGAGGCCCUGCAGCUGUUGUCAAUCAACCUGGAGAGAAGGUGGGAGGCAAUAGUGAUGCAGACAGUGCAAUGGCAGAACAGACUGAAGAGAGAGCUGGGAGAGCAGCAGGUUAAUGGAGCCAUUCUGGAAACAGACUUAGAGGAUCUCCACCAGAUUAGCCCAGUGUCAGUGGGUUCUGUGGCAAUGACACUGGAUGACUCCUGGGAAUGGGAUGAAACAGAUAAGACAGUUAUGGAAGCAGAACAUGUACCACAACCUGACCUUACAACUGACCUCCCCACCACCACACAAUCAAAUCUGCCCUCAAACAGUGCUUUGUCCAGUGAAAAUCAACCUCUGGAUAUUCAUACUGAUAUCAAAGCCACUCAGUCAAAAGGGAGAUCUCAAUCAAAGGGUGGAUCCUCUUUGGAUGUGCAGCACAGCAUAACUGCUGAUGCCCUCCCAAACAAUAACAUAUAUCAAGUGUACAGCCUCCACAGCAUUGAAUUAUGCAAGCAGCCAAUGUUUCCCCUUACUUCCACAUUAAAACACAUAAAUAAACCUGUCAAUAAUAAAAGACAUUUGUUGCUGAUGAACAUUAAUGACGAUUCCUCAUUGUCCUUUGUUAAAUCCCCCCCAGACCUCCUGGGAGGUUUGAUGUCAAAUAGCCAACAACAGGAAAGAAGCAGUGAAUUUUGGAAUAAGGAAAGUGAGGGUGGCAGAAGAAGCGGGGAAUCAGAAAAUAGUCUACAAUCAGAUUCAGAGAGUGGGAUUGUAAGUGACAAUGGAGAUUCAGAAGCAUCAACAAAUUCUGCAAUACAAGGAAAGAACGAGGAUCAGGCGGUAGGAAAAAAGGAAAAAAGAGACUGGAGAAAUGAUGAAGCUCCACAAGAAAAUCAUCCUUUAAGUCUGGAAAAGAACAGAAUUACUCAGUAUGAAAGAAGUAAGAUGGACAUUUCUAAGAAUUUUGAUGGAUUUAAAAGGAAUGAUCUUAGAGGUGAGACCAAAGGAAACAAAGAGGAAGAGGACAAGAGGUACAAAGAGGGAGGAGCAGAGGCUGUUGAAAUCCUAAUAAAUGGACACGGGCUCAAUGACUCCUCCAAGGUUUUUAUGUCCCUGACUGAAAACAAUGAUUUUCACUUUGACCACUGUAAUCAUGUUGAUACUACCCCUGCUCUCAAUAGUAGGAUAUCAAGUCCAGUUUUGUCUCAGAGCUCUUCUUUGGAGUCUCUAUUGACUCUAGGUAUGGAGUUAUUCCCCUCCAAAGAUUAUCUGCAUCAUAGUGUCUCUCUGGAGAGCUGUCUUAAUCAAUGCCACAGCCCUGACAUAGAGGUGGUAGACAGGCUUUUCAGUCCCAAUGAGCUGAAACAUGUCCUGGAGAAAGACAGUGAUAUAGUUGAACCAAGAACAGGCAUAAAUACUGGAACUGAGACAUCUGCUGAAGACCUUAGCCAAAGAACCCUUGAUCUCCUGAAACGUUUGGAGAACAUUCAGAAUCCUUUGGUCGUGAAGAUGACACGCAGUGUUUCUGACAUGUCAAUUCAAAGUAGCACUCCACAGAAGAACCAAUUCCCUGUUUCACCCUCUUUAGGUCGUGAACACAUCUUACAAUCUGGCAUUUCUAGCACUUCAUGGGAAGAACAGCCAUCAGUGGUCAAUGAAACAUUAUCAAAAGUAUCACUAACUGGGCUGAGUAGCACAGAAGACUCAUCUCUGGGGUCUGAGGAUUUCAUCAUGUUCAGAAAUCAGCAUCACCUAUCUCAACAUCUAAACAUGGUGGCCAGUUCCAACUCCAGCUCUCAUAGGCAACAUUGCCACAAUAGCACCAGGGGCGGGAAAUGUGUAGAUGGGUCAGAUGGUUUAAGCAUGUUGGUAAACGUUUCAUGUACUUCAGCAUGCACAGACGUAGAUGGAUAUGACAGUGAUCUGCUUUCGUCUUCCACACCGACGCUCACUGAAGAGGAACUUGGUGUUCGGGAUGAACAGGAUGGGGAUGACAAGAGGAUUAACGGUGUAUCCUCCAGCAAUGAGGAAGAUGAGGACAAUAAUGAUGAUGUCAUGGAGACCUCCUAUGAGCUCGGGCUUGAGUAUAUGAAGAGGAAGUUAGAAAGUUGGAUAAGAACUCCUCGUACCUCUGCGUCCUCCUCAUUCAAAACAGAGGCAGGGCUUUUGGAUGAGUUACAGUGUGGAAGUACGCCAUCUUCCAGCUUCCCACAUUCAACUACACAAUUAAUAAAAACCAAGAAAAAUGCUUACAACAAUACAACCAGAGGACAGGACCAAGAAGACGAGAACAGAAGGAAUGUGACAAGAAGCUAUAUCAGCCAAUUUGUUGAUGAUAUAGAGAAUGGAAAUGUAGAUCACAACUGUUUACAAGGAAAAUAUGAAGAUGAUGACCUUCUCCAGGAAGAGUCUGGCCUGUUCACUAAGAAAGAGGAUACUUUAAGGGAGUUGUAUGUGAAUGUCAAAACAGAAGAGCCGGUUCAAGAUGUUGGGAAAUUGAGACCUCAAAUGGAUUUAAGUUCUACAAUAUAUAUAUGCUCAUCACCAUCAAGUAAGCUGUACCCCUUCUCUUCUAAGCAUUCUUCCUGUUUGGUGGACGAGCUGAGGGGGGAGCUUCCCUGCCACAGCACCUCCAGUCCUACAACUCCUUUGCUGUCUCCAGAUGACUGCAGAUCCCACAGUGCAUUGGACAACAGCCUAUUGAUUGCUGAAGGACGGAAAGCCAUCAAAAUUAAAGAGAAGUUUAAGUUCUCAUCAUUGGUGACAGAGGAAACAAGGAGGGAAGUCAGAGCAAAAGAUCCAACUCUGCCUUCCAAAGUUGGCCACAAAUCCUAUUCCCCUUGCAAUGUAGGAGUCUUGUUGCCCCAUCCACAAACUAUAGAUGAAUGCAAGAAAGAGAAUGUUAAUGCCUUUGUAACGGACAUUAUGGACAUGGCCUCUGUGGCACUGAAAAACAAAAAGAACCAGUCAGUUGGACCAAACCAACGGGAGACCAGUGGGUCUGUCCAUGACCAAUCCUCUACAGCAUGCAUCCAAGAUAAGGUGCUCGAACACUCCCACAGGCCUCUCCAUCUUGAGAAGGGAGACUUUUACUCCUACCUGUCUCUCUCUUCCCAUGACAGCGACUGUGGUGAGGUUAGUCAGCGUGCUGAGGACAAGAACUUGACCCCUGUGCCCUAUAGCAUCCCAUCCCAUGUCAUAUCGACACAAGCUCUAAACAGUCAAAGCUCCGAGCUAUUUCCCAGCACCAAACAGCCAAUAUCUGCCUUUCAGUCAGCUUUGUUGACCAAAUGCUUUUCACCCAGCCAGAAUACUAUGAAUAACAUUGCCUGUCUGGAUUUUAAGUGUUUUGAACGUGAAGCUACCAGUCUCACCGAUGGAAGCCAAGCAGAGGACUCCUCUAGCCCAUCUCUGCCUGUACGUCCAAGUCCUGACAUUAGGAAUGAGGAGGUACUGAUUGAAUCCUGUACAGAGGAGGUUUACCUAGGCCCACCUCUUUGCUACAGCAUGGUGAUUAGAAAGAAACCUCAACCAUUCCAGCAUAAACUGUGUUUGGAUACCUCAUUGGUUAGUGGCUGUCAGCUAAGUAUUAAUGCACCUUGUUCGUCUCAAGAGGGGCCAAAUUCAGAUGUAAAUAAUAGGAUGACUGACCAUUCUUUCUCAGAACAAAGCUCUGGUCGCACAACGAAAACACAGAACUUCUUUCCUCCUGUUCCCAAACCUUGCUGCAGCUCAUUUCCUACAUCUUCAGUCUUGAGAAGCAGCUCUAGCUCUUCAGGUAACAUUUUUUUUCCUCAUCCACCUGUGUCCACUAAUGCAAAAGAAGGAAAGCUCAGUGAAGACCUGUACCUCUCCUCUGAUGGUGUUGGAGGGAAAGUCGCGACUGCUGUGAGUGUCAGCAUGCUGCAGGAGGAGAGAAGUUGUAAUGAGGGGGCUUCUUAUCUUAAUCCCUGGGUACGUGUUGCCCUUAUAGACUCCAUCGCCACAGAAUGUUUGGCAGAUACUAAAACGCUUGAAUCCAAUAUGGGCACCGUAACGACCAAGAUAAGUGUCUGCAGCACUGCUACAAAUCACACAAAAGAGCCAGCCACCACCGCUACGUGUAUUAAUCCCAAAAUUAACUGCUCAGCAAUGAGAACGCUUGAUAGGGAGGAAGGGAAGAGGUGCAGAGAGGCAAAUACUCAAUGGGCAGAAGAGGAGGAGGAGGAGGAGAAGAGAAAGGGGAGGACCAGUUUGCAACAAGAAGCAAAGUCUGUCAUGGUGAAACAGGAAGGCUUUUGGCCAGUUUUGAGUCGGGCCGCUGGAGAAAGACAAGAUGGAGCAAACCUACAGUGAGGACCCCACCUUUCGGAUGACAGCAAUCAAAAGGCAGGAAAAGGAUUAAACACAAUGGGGAAUGCGGUAAUCCGGAAUAGGGAGCGCUGGAACGGGGACGCGGAGCGGGAGGAUUAACCCAGGUGACCAGGGAGCGACUGACUAAAGAGACCCAGAGGAGGAAGGCACCGACCGGCGAACACCCAGCCGCGGAGUUGAGGAUGAGCCGCAGUGGCAGCGUCUGGGAGGGGAGGAUUGGUCGCGGACUCAGUAUGGCUGAAGAUCAGCAAGAGACCAUCUGCGUUGGGUGGAAGAAUUUCCAGGAUCCAGCACUAAGGAGGUGUCUCUAUCCACUCACCCCUGUCUCAGCGUGUUCUGAGUCUCAUCUCCCUAUUGCAGCCUUUCACCUGUGUGAUCUUCGUCUCUGAACUGUUGUCUUGAAGUUUGUCAUUACCCCGAUGAGUCAAUUAAUUUGUGAUUUGAAGCUGUUUUAAAGCGUUUUCCUGGGGAUAUUUCAAGGUUUACCGAGGUCUUGCUUGAAUGUAGAAUUUAAAUGCAUGUAUACGUAGUAAAAGGUAAUGUGAUCUAUAAAGGGUUUAAGUCAGUGGUCUCAAACUCAAAUCCUCAAUGGCCAGUGUUCUGCAAUUUUUAGAUGUGUCCUUUGCCCCACACAUCUGAAUCAAAUAGCUAACGUACCCCACUAGCAUGCAGUCAAGCUUUGCAGAGUUCUGCUAAUUAGGUCAUAUUAAGCUGUGUGCCAGAAUCUGUAGGAUGAGUUUUCGUAUAAACUGUCAGGGGUCUUGGUGAUAUCAGAGUAAAUUGGGCAAAAGUCUGGGCUAUUUCUGCCCUGCGAUGGACUGGUGACCUGUCCAG